rnacentral:lncRNA from 1 species
GGCGACGUUGGGCAAUCACCUCAUCCAAGGGUUGUGAUGCAAAUACGGCUAUUUGGGAUAUUGUGCCCCCCAGUGCCUGCCCCAUGAUAUUCCCCCCGCCCACAGAUCCAGGUACGUAGAAAUAACCCAGCAGUUGUAUGUGAUGAAUAAUUUGAGAUGGUUCGAGGGAAUCAUCGUAUGCAGCAUAUCAUGCUUCAACCUACGAGAUCCUGUAAGCAAGCAAGGGCGGGAGUAAUUGCAGUGCCCCUCAGGCAUCGCAUUUAGCAACUAUAUGAGCAUGUACAUAUGCCCAGCCAGUCACACAACACAUUCACGCGAGCGCAUAAUUAUGCUAAAUCCGCGAUUGUAUUGGUGGCAUGGACACAUGUACGGUUUCCCUACUGGCAGGCGCCCUAGGGGUUUUAAAACCCUGGCAGGCGAGCUGCGUUUCCUUAUGGCACCGACCUGCUGCUCCAUUAAUCUAGAAAUGUUUCUGUUGCUUCUGACACCGAUCGAUUAUUAUCGUUGCUGGCUUUUGCCGCAGUUCCAGCUUCAUGCACCAGGCCAUCCGGGUGGUGCAUCCACAACAGCUCAGUCCUGCAGAGUGCAGACUGUGACGGGGAUGGCGCCCUGGAUGUUACCUGCCGGGAUGAUGAUGGGCGACGUUGGGCGAUCACCUCAUCCACGGGCUGUGAUGCAAAUGCGGCUAUUUGGGAUAUUGUGCCCCCCAGUGCCUGCCCCAAGAUAUUCUCGCCACCCACAGAUCCAGGUACGUAGUAAUAACCCAGCCGUUGCGAUGAAAUUGAGAUGGUUCGAGGGAAUUCCCUCGAACCGGCAUUGCCCCUCGGAAUUAUCAUAGCAUAUCAUUGUUCAACCCCACUUGCUUCGGAGCAGUGAAUUGCAGCAGUGUGUGCACCUUACCUGAAGCCCCUCAGGCAUCACAUUUGGCAACUGUAUACAUAUGCCCAAUCGCACAAAACAUUCAUGCAAGCGCAUAGCUAUGCUCAAUCACCGAAUGUAUUGGUGGCAUGCAUGCAUGCAUGCAUGCAUGCAUGCACGGUUAUCCUACGGCUGCUGGCAGCAGCCCUGAGUCUCUUUGUGGCACCGACCUGCUCGAUGCAUCUAGAAAUCGUAGUUACACUGCCUGGCCUUUCAUUUCCAGCUGGUCUGGCCUCCACCCUUCAUGUGGCCUUUCCUAGCUAGGCCACCUGCCCGAUCUGCUUCUGGCAUUGAUCAAUUAUUAUCGUUGCUGUUUUUUUUGCCGCAGCUUCAUGCACCAGGCCAUCCGGGUGGUGCAUCCACGACACCGCAGUCCUGCAGAGUGCAGACUGUGACGGGGAUGGCAUCCUGGACUUAACCUGCCGGGAUGAUGAUGGGCGACGUUGGGCAAUCACCUCAUCCAAGGGUUGUGAUGCAAAUACGGCUAUUUGGGAUAUUGUGCCCCCCAGUGCCUGCCCCAUGAUAUUCCCCCCCCCCACAGAUCCAGGUACGUAGAAAUAACCCAGCAGUUGUAUGUGAUGAAUAAUCUGAGAUGGUUCAGGGGAAUCAUCGUAUGUAGCAUAUCAUGCUUCAACCUACGAGAUCCUGUAAGCAAGCAAGGGCGGGAGUAAUUGCAGUGCCCCUCAGGCAUCGCAUUUAGCAACUGUAUGAGCAUGUACAUAUGCCCAGCCAGUCACACAACACAUUCACGCGAGCGCAUAAUUAUGCUAAAUCCGCGAUUGUAUUGGUG